rnacentral:lncRNA from 1 species
UCAAAGACACGAAAGCAUUCUCAUUGAAACAUUAAUACUACUUUCUUACCAAAAAACAUUAAUACUACUUGGCUAUUAUAUUGGCCCAUUUCUGCUUGAGAAGAGCUGCCCUAAACAAGACGCAUUUAGGCAUCUUCUAAGAACACGCAAUGGAACACCUAGUUCGACUUCAAAAGGUUAUUCCCUCCCACAAGAAAUUAUUCUCAGAGUGCAAGAUUUGUAGAAGACUUGUAGUACGACGAGAUCUUUUAUCCCAUGCAUGGCCGGUACGGAGAAGCAGUUCUUGCAAAGCCUCUUGGAGAGAACCUUCUUUUGCGGGUUAAAGAAAUUCCACUAUCAUUGUCUCUUCUAUAUUCCAUCACCAUUGUUUCAUUGACAGUAUCGUUCCAACGCCCACCUGUAAUCACCAAAAAGAAUGCCAACAAAUUAAGCGACCGGUGCUCUUACUGUUAGCUGCCUCUCUAUAUAUCAUCACAAAGGCCCCACUCGACGGGCAUGGAGAUGGUGUGAACUGUGGGUCCUAAACAAAGGUCUAGUUGUCCUUCCUUGCAAAACCUGAGACAACUGAAUAUAUGCCAAGUUUAACAUUAUCCAUGCAUUGCACCACUUUUUCAGGAGAAUGAGACAAAUUUUGUGGGAGAAAUUAACUAAGCUCUAGUUGCCCCCAUCUGCUUUGUUUCUGCUGAUAUCUUCAACAAUUUUACCUUGUAAAUAGCUUUUUGUAAAUUGCCUCGUA